CACCCAAACAGGGCAGACAAAUGAGGGACUGAUGGUACAGCGUGAGUCAAAGGUCCUUCAGGCUGACCCAGUUACAGCUUUACCUCUGACCCCACAGCAAGGGGCAGCAGCAGUGCUGCACCUUCUGCCAGUGCUGUGGCAGUACUCGUGGGCAUGAAAUCUCUGCAGCAAGCAUUACUGCACCCGUGCUGGACAGAGCUGUGCCUCUGUCAGCACAGCAAGAGAAACCCAGCCAAGCUCUGAAGAGGGAGGCUGCUCCCACCUGGACAAGAGGCUUCAGAGCAGCACAGUCUGGUGGGCAAGGCUGGGGUGGGCAUGCCAGGCUGCAGCCUGCCCGUGCCAUGCCGGGCUGCCCCUCUCUCGGGCACGGUUGGAGCUCAAGCUGCAGCCGUGCUGCUGGGCCGCAGAGCCUGGCGCGGCCGGCCAGGGAGGGCGCUGGCACCGGCCUUCGCGCCUCAGGAAGAGAAUCUAGGUCACAGAUCUCUCUGAGAACAAGCACGUCUGAGGCUGCCAAGGGAAACAAACUGGCAGCAGAAAGGGGAGCAAACUGGCUUGAAAAGCAACAGGAGAAUGGGGAGAAGUAACUCAGUGAUUGAAACAAGGAUACUCUGAGAAAGCUUUGUAGGUGACUGCCAAUUGUCCAAAAGCCGAGUGGCUCACUACUGACUGCAACUGGAGGAAGAAAAGGCAUAUGUGUUUGGUUGUAAAUACUCUUUGUACUAUCACAACAGUAGUGCAUGUGGGAAUCCUUGUCUGCCCCAGAAGUCUUAAGAAAUUUUGGAACCUCUGCCACGAAAGAUAAAUAAUCCCAAGAAAGACAUUUGUUUCUCUAGUAUGAUCCUGUUCAGUCUCCUCAAGGACUGUAGCACAACGAUUGACUCUCAAGGCCAAAGCCAAGCAACAAAGUGAACUUUAACUUUUGGCUUUGAAGAACAGGCAUGUGUGAAAAGAAAAAAACUGUGGAAACAUUUCUUGAAGAUGCUGGUAUCAUACCUAAGCUGGUCCAUGCACUUUCACCUAAGAACUCCUGCUGGAAACCAGCAACUCUAGCAAAGGAAUGUCUCUCCUUAAUGCCUAUAUCAGCUUUGUGUGGUGACAGAUGAGAAAAAACCCACUGUAAAACCCAAGACUUGUAUGAACAGUUCCAGUUAACAAAUUGUAUUAGCUGUUCAACUAAAGACAGAAAAAAUACUACAGAAAAAAAACCCCAAACAUCAGUAUUGUUAUUUUAAAGGAAAUCAAAAUUAUUAUAUUAGUUUUCCCAGCCUGAGAAAAAGCAAAAGCAAACAAACCCAAAGCAAUUUAUUUCAUAUGACAAAAAAGUAUGACAGGAAAAAGUACUUAGAUAAAUCAACAGGAAUAAUAGCAACACCCAAAGACAUAAAAAUGGGUUUCUCAUUGUAUAGGAGACAAAAUGCUUCAUAGACCACAGUGAAGUGAAGGUCAUCUAUUAAAAAACCUCAGACAAUAUGAACAUUUUACAAGUUGUACCAAGCAGGAACAGGAAGAUACACAAUGAAAUGAAAUACCAUAAAAUAGCUUCAUCAGCUAAACUUCAAAUGAAACUGGAAAUGUCAGAAUGAAUAAAGAUAAUCCACUUUAGUUGCUUGUUGAAUAAUUUGACCUGAGAGAAGGACCUGACAGCAGAUGAACUGCCUUUCCCAGACGUGGACAGCUGGGCUGUCAAAUAUAACUCAUAUUUCUGAGGUGUCAUGUGAACAAAUGACUAAAUUCAGGCAUGGCAAAACCACCAAUGAAUUAUUUUCAUUUUAAUGCACUUUGUAGAUUAAAUUGCAAACCAGAUUGGUAACUGAAUUUUAUAAAUGGUCCUGUGACCAUAUUUUGUGUGAUGUGAGGUGGCCAUCUGUAGGGUACAAGCAUCUCAUGAAGGUUCUCCUGCUGGCCCUGAGGUUAUGUUCAAGUCAGGCUGAACAGUGUUGGAGCCAGGUUUUCCUCAGAGGUGCACAGUGGUAGGAGCAAAGGACCUUGUUUCUUCCCAGGAAACGAUGUUCAGCAGAACAGAAUAACAUAUUUGGCCAGACCUGAGGGGAUUUUUAUGAGUUCCAUGUGAGAUGCUGAAGCCUUAACUUAAUUGGCCUUACAUUCCUCAGGAAUAUAUACACCCCGUAUCCACAUCCACUCAGUCUGCUCUCCUUUUCAACCUUGUUACCGUAACUAUUGAUUUCUCUUGCUGUAGUCCAGCCUGAAGCUCAUGUAAAUCAAGUCAGUUGCUACAAUCUGGGCUGUGUCAGGAAUGCAAAAUUCACAGCCUUUCUUGUUUUUCUCCUUUUCCUCCUACUGCCAGUGAUGUUUUAAUUUUGACAUUCUGCAUGGAGAUCAGAAAUGUACCCAAAGCAGUUUCAUGUCCCACAAAUUUCUUGUCUGUGGAACUUAAGAAAGUGUCUUUUUAUAACAUCAGUAUCAUGCAUAUCCCACACGGCAAGCCCUGCGGGGUUCUGAAAAUCAAAUUUUUUAGUGCACUUUGAAAAAAAAAAUGUUUUGGGGAGACGAAUAUUCUCCAUUGGCCUGAUUAAUUUUCACCGGGAAAAAAAAUGCAAGCCCGCAUGCAGCUAUUAUCAAAUCUCCUGGUGGAAUGGAUCCUGGGUGAAACACAUCCUAGCCCUCGGCUGGAUGUUAGCCCUCGGCACCUGAGCAGUUUGCACUUAAAUUCCUGCUGGGGCCUCUGCUCGGAGGGUCCCGUUGUCCCCCGGCUGCACGCCCGGUGCCCUCCAGGCUCCGUGCCCUCUCCCGGGAUGCAGGAGAGCGGAGCGAGCACUGGGAGCCCUGCAGGAUGGGCCAGGGCUGCCGGCGCCGCUCCUGCCCCCGGGAAAGAGGAGCAGCAUCCGUGUUUCUUUCCCCAGCCCUCCCGAUGCUGCUCUGCUAGUGUGUUAGUGUUUGCAGGAACCACCACGACUCCAAGCGUGAUGAGGUAGGGGAUGAGCAGAGGUGUGGGUAAAUGGGGAGGCUCGCUGCUGGUGGCGCUUACCAUGAUCCAUCCUGGACUGGUUUGGUCAAACUCUGGUUGGACUUGUGAACUGGAGGGCCUGGCAGGGUGAGAUGGAGGAUGUGGGUCAAGGCACUCACAGGUCCGGACUGCAAGCUAUCCCUUUCCUCACCCUGUCCCCUGCUGGGCAUCACUCUGUGAUGUCCACACCUAAACCCUUACUCUUUUGCCACAGGGGCAAAGGCAGUGCUGUCUCAGGCCUGGGGAAAGGUGAGGGGCUGUCCAGCAGCUAUGAGCAGUGGGUGCCAUCUCUGGAUGUGGGGCACUGAACACCAUGCGUAUUGCAGUAGUGGCCAGUGGUUAUCUGCUGUAGCUGAAGGACAAGGCAAAUGCUGCAGGCAGGACAAGCAUGUUCCUCUCCUCAUCCUCCCUCAGCCAGCAGUCCUGACAUGUGGACCAUUAUCAAAAUGCCUGUUCUGUGACACUAAAAAAAAGCCAAUGACCAGUGUAAAAGAAGUUUAUUGGCGGAAAGGUAUACACGAUUGUGCUACAGAGCUGGAGAGAUGUGCUGUGAAAGGAAACAGAGAGUCAGACGCUAGCUCAAUCAACGUCACAGAGUCCCACUGUGAGUCCUAGGUCCCACUGUGAUGCAAUGGCUCUUUCCAGGACUUCAUGACAGAAGAAAAUAGGGUGCUUGACCACUUGUUCAACAUUUAUGGUGCUCCUGAAGGUGAAAAUCCAAAAGGAAAUAACCUCAGUGAGAACCAAUAGUUGCAGGUUACAAAACACAUGCAUUUUUUUCAAGAUACAGGGUAGUCAGUUCUUUCUGUGUGAAACAGACAAAAGAAGGACCAAGGUCUCGCAGCAAGCUGUGCCUGGACUCCUGAGAAACUGCUCAUGAGACAACAGCCACCAGAACUGCUGUGCUGAGCAGGAUGCAGACCUGACCUCCUCUACAGCCAGGCAGCAUUAUACCCCUGACUAGUUAAUACACUGCCUCCAUGAUUCAUGUCACCUCGUGUUCUCCUCAGAUAAUGUAUUUCCUGUCCCAGAAAAAGUUUCUCUUAGUCCAUGUGAAAAACCCUGCUGGGGCCUGGGAAGCAUAGACUUCAGAGGGAAGACUUUCAAGGACGGCCAUAGCAACGUGGUCCCCACUUGGAUUCCACCCGUGUCAUGGGACAGGAUCUGGCCAGUCUCAGCUCUCUGAGAAGCCUCAUGGAGACUUCAUUUCUUCAAGAAUGUCAAUUUCUGCAACAACCUCUUUGCAAGGUGAUGAAUAUUGAGCAACAGCAUACUCUUCUGGAGAGGAAGAAUAGAAACGUUCUUGUUACCCUGGAGAACACUUGUUGUGCCUUUCCCUGGAGGUGGAUAUAACCUAUGCAUGCUUAAACUGGAUAUCCUUGAAAUAUCCUUUAUUCUGGUGCAUGUAUUUUCAUAACUUUCUAGUCAUGCCUAUUGAUUGCAUUGGGCAUGAGACCAAGGUGAAUAAAGUGAAAUGAGUCUCUCCCCUGGCCCUAGAUUCAGGUGCUGAUGGAGUCCAGAGGGGUGCUGGUUGCAGCAGGGCUGUACAUGCUCUCCCUUAAGGCACUGUUUCUGCUGUCCCUGCCCCUCCCCCAGACUUCACACUGGUUAAAAUCAAAAAGAUACCUGUUUCAUAGUAGUCAUAGAUCUGCACUGGUGCUGGCUUGGGGUGGGUCACUACAAAGUCCUGCUCAACUGAGAAAGUGAUUUCUUUACUUUUCUUCUGUGAGAUCUGGAAUGGAAGGUCAGAGACCACAUCAGUCUUUUUAUUUGUACAUCACCAUCUAGAGGGACAAGGGUGGUAACUCACAGGUUGCAUAUUCCAAAUCCCACUGAUGCCACACCUACAGAUAUGGGACAGCCAUUAUCCAAACAUGUGGAGAGUCCAAAGUGAAACUGAACUGAAAAGUUAAUAGAUUUUCUGUCCUGCUCAUAUCACUGGAUUCUGUAAUUAUUACAUAUCCUGUUGCCAGAGGUGGGAAAAUUGUCCAAAGGACUGAGUUUAAUUUUCCAGGAUCUCCCAGUGGUCAGGAUGAUAAAGUCCAGUAUUUCAGUCCCUCCCAUUUCAGACAUGGACAUUAUGUGCCACCAAGAAACUGUGAAUCAAUUUACAGUGUCCAUCACUGGAGUAUUAGCUUCUAUUAGUUUUGCAGUGCCCUGAGCAAAUUGUUUACUAAGUAAAUUCUGAUUCAGGAAUCAGAUUACAAGUAAAAUUUUGCAAUGAUCUAAUGUAAGAGAAACAAAGAAAAUCUUUCCAGGGGAGAAUGAAAGCAGUGUUUCCUGUCGUGUUGGAAAGACCGAGGUUUAUAAGAAGCCUAGCAAAGAGGCAUGCAUGCACACAAUAGAACCUCUUUUCUGAUGUUUGUCUGCAUUUUACUGAAAGGAGAAAGAAUUUUGAUUAAUUUCAAUGUGAUUUUUUAAAAAACUUUUUUUAUUUUUUUAUUUGCUGGUAGGACAGGUGUCAGUUUGAAGCUGUUUGGAAGGUUGGGAAAUUACAAGCAGUUUGGGAAGUAAGCAGCUUAGUGAUAGAAAAUUGUUGAGGAAGAGAACAUGAUAAAUGCACCACAUAGGGUAUAUCUAUAUUGUGGUUAUACCUAUUGCAUGCUGUUUCCAUCCUUUGUGAAAAUCAAAUAGACAGUGACCAGAACUUACAUUUUGCAGAUAAAGGAGGACAUGAUUUUUCUUGCUCUCUACUUGCAUCACUGUUCGACUGUCAAUGAGCUUUGAAACAAGAAAAUGGAGAUAAAUAUAUUUGUAAAACGUUACGAAACAAGUGCUGCCUCAGACCCUACUGCUGCAUGUUGGUGGUAUUCAUUCUUCUCCUAGUCAAGUUUCAAGAGCUGGCAGUUGUCUUUUGUAGUCCAAAUAUUGCUGAAAAGAUUGAAAGGAUGGACAAAAACCUACCACUUGACUCAGUUGGGUGUAUGAGCUCUUUCCAAAUGCACAAGUCACUGCGAUUUACUUGGGGGAUUCUGCCAGACUCUGGUAUGAUCUGAGAUGUUUCCCACCCUUUCCCUACCUGGGCAGAGCCAGCUCCCAGUUGCAGCUGCCAGCUGCUCAGGCUUGAGCUGAAACCCUUCCUAGUUUUAAAUAUAGGAGGUUCUGUGUGUUUGAAGCUCCCUGGAGGGCAUUCCCUCCACCCAGUAAUGAACAGUGCAGCCAUGCAAACACCUCACAGGGUCUGUGGCUGAAUGCUUCUUAACCAUGCCUCUGGUAAUUUCGGCUUGCUCCUCUAGGUUUACCUUAUCCAGGGAAGACUUAACAGGAACAAAGCCAGAGAGCAUCUUCACAUCAAUAAUGAUCAUGUUGGAGCUGUUGCGUUUCCCUGUGUAACUGAAACAACAGAGGGCCCUGUCAGUGGUCUUUGGGGACACUGUGUCUUACAGGCUGAUACCAUCAGCAUAUUGAUCAGCCUGUGGCUCUUGACUUCAUAAGCUGAAGUGAAAACACACAGCAAGGUUUUCUGUGUGCAGCUGGUUUGCUGGUGGCACAUUACCUGCUUAUGAGGACAAUAUCAAAUUUUGCUGGUCUGUCCUGUGGGCAGGAAGCAUUUGAUGUCUGUACUGAAAGCAGAAAUCCAGAGGACCCCUCUGGAAGGUGAAUGUUGUAUCUCAGUGCUGUCUGGAAGAGGAAAAAACCCUUUUGUUCAAGAAUGCCAAAGAUUUUCUUUGCAUUCAAAAAAAAAAACAGACUUAGUGAACUUUUCUGGAAAUGUUGCACUUGGUUUUAUGUGGAAGAUGCUUGCUUAUAUCAAUGAUGAACACAUAAGACUUCUACUUUUUAACAGUGAAGGUCCUUGUACCGAGAGUCACCUCUCAGAAAGAAAUCAGAUGUUGAUCAGAAAGGACUCUUUUUCCAUGCCAGAACUCCCCAGGAACCAGAAUGUGGGAUGGGACAAAGAGUGUUUAAGUGGUUUAGGAAAAUCAAGCAAUUAGGAAAAAUAAAGAGGAGUCACUAGAAAAUCAUCAAAACAAUGGCUAUCUUGUAUGCAAAAUGUGAGACACAAUGAAGAAGAAAGCAGACAUUUACUUGCAUAAAUACGCAUCCACUGCCAUUCACUGUCAGGCUGUAUUUCCCAGGGACCUCUGGAAGGGGAGUCUGUUGCACCAGGAGCCUGUUCUCAUUGUUGAUAAAAAAUACUUUCUCAAAAGGCUUUUUGGAAGUGAUCUUGACUCCAUUUUGUGAAGCAGAUUUGUGGGUGGCCUCACCAUAAGCAGCAAGUGCUUGAAGGGCAAUGACCGUGUCCUGAAGAAAAAGAAAAUAAAAGAAAAUUGGCUACACAGCAUGACCAGUGCAGAGGAGAUCAAAGUCACUGCUGCAAAACCCAUCACAGUUGCUUCUUCCUGAAUUUGUGUAUAAUUCUAGGGUUCCCAUACAAAAGGAGACAUUUCAUUCUCUCAUGUAUGUUUUAGGGUAGGAGAAUCUCUCUCCUGACACAAGGGUCUCAGAACAUAAAAUCUGAGAAGUGGAGUGUACUUCUAGAGUUUUUCAUAAUGGUGAAGCCUGUGUUUUCUGGGGAGCUACAGAACUCAUGGGUCAUCUGACAGAUGGGACUUGGUGUUUUCUAGGCUUAUCCUCGACACAAGUAUCUGUAUUUAUUGCUAGUCAAAUUACUCUUUCUAUAGUUAAGGAGAGGUUGGAGUGGGGAAGAAAGUAUUUUGGUCUCCUAAUGUAAAGGUUUGGUUUCUCUCAGAGACAGCAAUUAGAAAAGAGAAACAGGACUAGGUAGUCAGAGCCCUGCUGGAACCCUGAAACAGUGCCCUGAUUCCUAGGACUAGCUGUGGAGUGGAAGGCACUUUUGGCACCUGGGUAGAAGAGAAACCUCCAUAGGGAUUCUGCUGCCUGAUGAUCCACUGCACAAUCCCUGAGGCCUUUGUGAGAUCCUCUUUACUCCGGUUGGGUUUGCAGAGCAAUGCCAACAACACAUAACUGGUGAUCUCAACAUCAGCUGAAGGGGCAUGGUCAAGGAAGGAGGGAGAUUUGUCUGAUGGAGACCUCUCCUCCUGCUCCCAGUGCUGUGAGCCAUCUGAAUAAACAAAGAGAGGAACCAAUAUUGAUUACAGGUGUCACUGCUCUGUAUUGCCUUGGAGCCUCACUUCAUCCGGGUCUCUUCCUCAAAAGGACUCCCUGCACAUCAAUGAAUGCACUGCAGAUUAAUUCCACAGAUCGUUAAUGUAGUUUGGUUCAUGUGCCCACUCUCUCAAUCUUGUCAAGGUUAGACCAUCAGUAAGAUCUGCUCCAUCUUCCCAUUUCCCAAGUUCCCCAAGUGACUGAAACUCACCAACUUCCUUUGCUGAUUUCUGUAACUCUUCAAGGAAUGAUUCACAUUUUUCUGCCUUGCCAGCUAAGCAGAAAGCAUAGGCCAUGAGUGCCUGAGUGUAAACUUCCCUGAUACUCUUCUCAGAUGCAGUCUCCAGACAAAAAAUGGCAUUUCGGAUUACAGGGUACUUAAAAACAAAAAAGCAUGUGGGUUUAAUUCAGGACAGUAGUCUUCACCUGCUCAAAAAUUUAUUUCCUUUUCUUUAAACUUCACCUGCUCAAAAAUUUAUUUCCUUUAAACUUGUUCCUCAUCCUGUCACUAUCAUAGCAAUGAGAGUGGGACUUCAGCUUGUAUAAUGACUUCAGGAGAGAGAAUACAGAAUUAUUCAAGGAGGGAUUUCUCAGAAAACACCAAACAUAUCAAGUAGGUUUUAAUGGUGUUCUUGACAAAGUUGGUCUGCAGAUUUCACAGAUAAUUCCUUCUUCUUAUGUCCAUGAUAAUUAUUUGCUCUGCAUUUCUGUAGUCAAGAGUUUGUUGUCUUGAACAAAUCUAACGUAGUGGUUUCUAUCCUCACUGACAUUGGUGUCACUUUAAUUCUGUGAUGUUGUACUAGGUUCACACCCACAAAAAAAGGUACAAUUUGACUCCAUGUCCCCAGAAAGGAUAUGAAAAUGUGGAGGUUAACUCAUGCAUUGAAGUCUAACAUCUCCUCUGUAGUCACCUUCAUACUGCCAAGUUUUUGAAAAGGACAGAUCAGCUUUUGCUCUGAAGGACAUUUGUUUUUCCAACAUACCUUUUAGUUCCAUUUGUAGAUUUUAUAGAUUUACCUGCAACAACUUACUUUCUUGACUGGGCUGUCUUUGAAGCUAAGCCAAAGUGUGUGGGUUACUACCUGUCGUGUGUAGGUUUCUACCUGUCAAAUCUAUUUAUUGGAAGCUAAAGGGUGUCACGGAAUGCUUUGUGUCUCACAAAUAGAAGAUGUAAUCCCACAGAGGUUUGUACAGUUUCUUCUCAAAGACUGGUGGUUUAAGAGGUGUAGAGAUGGGGAUUUUCUCUAUCACUGCAACCAGUGUAGAUACAGACCAUGGUCACCUACUCUGGGAGCUCUCUCUCUCUCUUUCUCUCUCUUUACUACCUAGACAAUUUAGCAGAUGCUGGACCCAAGGCAACAACUGGGCACCAGUUCCAUCUGAGUAUCAGGCAAGUCUCCUUACCGAACUGGAGUGCCCAGCUUCCAGCAUGGCAAUGGUGAUGUAGGCAGAAAGAGACAGCUCGUCAUCUACUCCUCCCUGAAAACAACAUGGAGAGAGGAAUAAUCUGUCAAUGCCACAGAUGAAAGCCUUAGAAUAUCAAUUGUCAUGUCCCAGCUGAGACAGUAUGGACAGUUCUGGAGGCAGCCCAAAGGGAAAGAAAGCAUUCACAUAGCUCUUGAAUAGCUCACAAAUCCAGAGAAGCCCUUUGCCAUUAAAUCCAAAAACAUCACUCCUUCAAGCUUACAGUCCUGUAAUCCUAUCUCAGGUGCACAUAAAUGUAAAGUAGGUGGACAAAAUCUGACUGAGCUGAAACUACUCAUUAUAAGAUGUGGAGAAUUAGCCCUUGGAAGAAGGCAGGCAUUUGGAGCAAAAUACAGUUUUUCGCAGUAAUUGGAGAACAUAUUCGUAGUGAAAAAGUAUAAAUUUGACCAAGUAAUGAUUCUCUCCCACCUUCAAGGCAUUGUUGAAGAGUGUCCCAACACUCUGGAAACAGCCAUCUAGUUUCUGUUUGCUGGACAGCCACAUCAGGGUUUGAGACUGGACACGCUCAUCAAUGUAGAUGAAGUGACCAGCUUGUGCAAAUGAUCUGUACACAAAGGCAGUGAGCCUGCAAGGGAAAGAUGGAGCUGUGAGAUGAGCACUGGAAGAAACAGAAGAAAUCAGCCCUCCCGUUCGUGCUGCUGAAGAGCAUGAAGAGUUACAGCCAGCGUGUUGGUGGCUUGCUUUCUCUUUGUGUGCUCCUCAGAGAGAGAACAGCUAAAGGAGUAGUAACUAGAUGGGAUACGGAGAGGAUGUCCAGCACGCUCUGUGGCUGGUCCUGUCUGCAGAGCACUACAGUGCAAUGGCUUUCAUUUGAGACAGCAGAAGUAUGAAUCAGAAAGUCAGCUGGGUCUUUAGGGAUCAACUUCUUUUCAUGCACCCAGCCUGGCAGAGGAUGGAGAAACAUUUCCUUUAGUACUUCUCAAAGCCCAAUCCUAGACAGCUCUGUACAUCUGAUUCAGCCAGUAAAGUUGCCUCUUACAUGCACCAUAAUAAUUGAAUGUAAUUAAUCUCUGAGCCAAUUCUCAGUCACUCACCAGGUGUUCCCUUCCCUGUCUCUGGUGCCAAAGAUGCUAUAGGACCCAUCAGGACGUUUGUAUAACAGCUGCUUCUGGUAGCCUGCAAGAACAUGGAAAAGGAGGUGUUCUUGGAUGUAAAAGCACAACCCUAUUUUGUUUGCUGACUUAUUGUCUGGGAAAGAAUGGAAAGGCAAUGUAUAUAUAACAAGCAGGAGGGGAGCUCUGAGAGAUCCUAUGAAUGGAAGUAUGGAACAUCUUGUCUGGCAGAAACACUGAGAGAAUAGGCAGAGCUCUAUCAGCUCUGUGCUCCAACUAAACGUACAGGAUCAGGAUACAUGCUGUGCCUGAGUGGGAAAAGAGAAGGGGACUGGAAGACAAAACCUCAAAAGAAACGUGGCAGUUGAAUGUCAGCAAAAAGGCAUAAGAUAAGAAGAUAAAGGAAAAUAAAAAAAUGUCUUGUUCAGGGCAAAUCCUUGGGUCUCUGGGCUGUGCUACAUCUGUGAUGCCAUCUGCCAGGGUAGCCAUGCUGUUGUUGCUGCUUCUGUUGUUCUGGACCUCAACAGGAAUUUCAGCACACAUUGUAAGGGAACCACGAAGCUCUCACCGCUCACUAAGUAUCCAGUGGCCCUGGAUUUGACCUCCCUGCUCAGCUGCCCUGUUUUGUUCAGAUAGUCCAGGACGUAGAUGUUGGGUGCAAAGAGGGCCAUGUUCUGCUCUCCACAGCCAAAGGGCAUCUGGAGGAGCUGGUGCAGGUUCUGCAUGGCAGUGCCCAUGAUGUCACCUGGGGAAGAGGAGAUGAGAGUGGGGGGAUCAGCACAACUCGUGGCCACUGAAAUUACCAGUAAUUUCCAUCUCACAGCCAGAGUAAUAAAAGCCUAGCAGGGGUUGGGAACCUUCUGAACAGAACUUUGUUCUGCUUUGCCUCCAACAAAGAAUCCUUUCCCUGCCUCUCCUUACAUAGUCUAAAUUGCCCUUACCAGAAACACUCCUUGUUUAGCUGACACUUCAAGCAAAUACUUCUUGUUGGAAAUGAAAGGAACUUACAGGAAACUUCUGUUUCCAGAGGAUGGAAGGGAAUAGCCAGAGCUAUUUAUUGCAAACAUUUAUUGCAAAAUUAACAGCUAAUGCUGCAAAGGGACGUUGAUAAUGCAGAUGUAUCACAGCCCACCUCUUAGUUGUUAUUUCUAGGAAAGGUACCACAGACCUAGCAAGGAAUUUCUGGAAAGAGCUUCUAAAAGUCACCAAGCAAGAAUUUUAUGGCUGGCUGCAAGAAGAUGGAAAGAAGACACACACAGUGGAUGAGACAAAAGCAUGCAGGAGAAAUUCAGUGUCAAAAUGCCACCCCUUUCCCCAACCUUCUACAUCACAAAACAGGUGGAUUGAAGCAACAGUUUACAAGACCAUGUAUGAUGUGACAGCUUCUAAAAGGGAGAUCUCAUCAGAUGGAGUCCCUCAUUUCCAGUUUCUCCUCUGCACAAGGGAGACAUGUCUGAUCCUCAUGGAAGAGGAUAUCUCAUGGGAGUGGACUUGGUCUUAGAUUGAACAUCCUGACCCUAUCCCAGCCAAAAAGGUCGAGCCAUACCAGGAUUUCUUUAGCAACAGCUGGAAGAAAAACAAGUGGAGGGCUCAAAAGAUGUAUGUUCUCACUGCAAAGAAAAUAAAGUCCCCUGACUUCACAGUGUAACAUGAAAACUUGUCAAAACCAAGCCAUUUGACCAAUAAACAACCCAUAUUGCACACCUUAGUGGCAUGAAAUUCCAAAUGGCUAUUUUGAUGCUGACCAACACCACAGAGGGAAGCAUUGUCUUAUGCCAGGUGUUGAUCUAAUCACCUCUCCCCACUAUCCUGGCCUGUCACCAGUAAUGAAACAGCAGCAGUAAUAGCUUCUGUCACCUGGGAGGAAGGGAUGAAUAAAAUAAUGGAGAUGGUGGGAUGACAGUCUCCUGACAUCCUGAAGAUGACUCCCUAGGCUCCACAGCAAAUAACUUAAUAGUUUUAACAAGAACUCUGAAUAAACUGUCUAGCAUGUAGCUCAGCCUGAAAAACACCAGACAGAGAAAUUCUGCCUGAAGAAAUUGCCUCCUAAGGUCAUGUUAUGGACAAAGUGGACAUUCACCAGUCUGUCCUGGUUUGUAGAUGGGUUUGUCUGUCUGCACGAAGACGAUGCUGUCUGUGUCCCAGAUCAUCACUGACCGCCGCUCCUUUAGGCUGAUGGUGCUGCCCUUGGCAGAGAAGGAAAUGAAAGCCAGGGGUACAGAGUGGACAGGAGGAAUCUGUGAAGAAAGAAGAAACAUGGGGAGGUUGUUAGUCUUGAAGUCAUUUGCUCCAGAACCUGUUGAACAGCAAUGCCUGUGGCCUGGGCUCCUGCAAUGAGACACAAGCUCACUUCAACCAGCUUCAUCACCUUUCUUGCGCUUUUUCUUAUUAGUUGCAUCUGCAAAAAAAGCCUCCUUUUCUGUUACUAUGUUGCUCUUCUAUGCUUCCUUUUUCCUUUAACAAGUCUUAUUUCUUUCCCUGUUUGUUCCUUGCCAUGCUCUCUAACUUUCUUUUCCCUGUUUACAAUCCUUUUCCAUGGGGACAUAAAUUAAAAUUAACUUACCUUGAAGUCAAAGCAUUGUAGACCACUGCUUGCUGUCAUGGUUUUCUUAAAAAUAGUGGUAUUAACAGAGCUGUAUUCUAGGAUUACUCUGACAGAUACUGUCUCGUUGAGGUUAUGGAACUGCAGGCAAACCUGACCUGGAGAGUCAUUUUGGAGGACAGCAGGCACCAUCAGGACAUACUGCCUAUGGAAUUCCAACAUCAAAGUGAUCACAUUCAUAUGUAAAGGAGAAACAGCCUCAACAGGACAAACACAUAACACUGUUAUUAUUAAGUACCCACCAAUUACUUUAGAUUAUAUAGGACACACUGCCAGUGCUCCUCACUCCAUUCUGCAGCUCUGAACUAGCUUAGAGCUGCUAUUGCCCCUAGCUCUUGCCCUUUUGCUCUUUAUCUGAGCCCUGGGCCCAGAUAAAACCACCUGGUUUUAGCAAAGCACCCUGCUGUCACUACUGCUAUUGCCUUAUCUGGACACACAUCAAUUUCCUUGGAAGUUCUGCAAUAGGUAGAAGGUCUGAUCAUAUUAAAUGAGAAUUGUUCACUUGCCAUCCCCAUUCUGCUUUAGCUCUCCAGAUAUAAAAGAUGAGCCCUGGCAGUAUUUAAAUUUUAGAGAAAAAUCAAUAACACUGACUAGCACUGUCUUUAAAGCCUUUUCACAAAUACUAAUAAUAGUAAGAGGGUAGUUCUUACGGCUCAGGUUCCUUUGCAGCUGCUACAUGCCAGAGAAGAAUAGCCAAAAGAAACUUCAGCCACAUUUUUCUCACUGGGACACAGAAGAAAGAGAUAAGUUCUCUUCCCAUGAAACAAUUCCUUGCCUACUAGUUUAACAGCUCUGCAGCAUUCCUCACCCAGUUCUCCAGAGGAAAGGAGUUUGCUGUUCAACUCCUCCCUGGCUCCUUCCUUUGAUGUUGGUGCCUUUAUAACUGCAGCAAGGGGUGGAGAUCCCAGUCUAUCCCACUCCUUGCAAGAACCUCCCCUAACACUACUGCAACCAAAAUCAACCCACCAUCUGCAACAUUUCACUGCACUUCUCUGAAUGUCUGCACAAAAUACCUUCAGUGGUGUUGUUUCGAGGAAGGGGGCUUUGGGUUUUACACUGAGACUUGUCACACUACUGAAAAGCACAAAGUGAUCUAAACCCAAGUAAGUCUGUCAAACCAGAUUAACAUCUGAGCGUUUUCCCCAUUGUUCUUGGAAUUUACCAACUGGAUUAACAGUGUGGGUGAAGUAGACCAAUUUUCUGCAUUUUGUCACCAGAUUCUGACUAAUAUUGACCUCUCUUUUCCCUUGCUUCAUUGGUGUUUUGAAAAUUGACAAAAUGGAAAAAUAGAGAAGCUAGAAACAGAAAGAGCUCUAAAAAGUCUUAAUUGCUUCUACCUUAGCCAUUGAGCACUUGACAGUGCUGUUGAAGUUUGAUUCAUUUCAGCUUGGAAUUAGCCAGUCGCUGGGUCUAUGGGAAUUUGUUAGCUCCCCAGGUUUCCAGUUUUCACACCUGUGUGGAAGCUAAUAGAGUUUUUUAUUAGGGAGAAGGAAUUUCUUUUGUUCUCUUGUACUCUGAAGAGAAAACAAAGCACUCAGGUGGGCUGCUCCCUACAAGAAAAACAGUGCUGGAAAGCAGUUAUUUGAUAACUGUAAAUAAUUUUUUCCAUUAAUUUUGGCACUGGGCACUGGGUCGGUCUGGCAUGAGGUCAUGAAGUCAGCUUUCUGCACAGUAGUCUGCUGUGCUGUGCAUUUGAGGCUAGAACAGUGCUCAUAACUCACCAGUGUUUUGGCUCUUGCUGAAGAGUGCUAGCAGAGUGUCAGGGCUUUCUACCUCCCCCACCUCCCAGCCAAAAGCCAGGAAGCUUGGGGUGAGUAAAAGACUGUGAGGGGCUACAGCCAGGACAGAUGACCCAAAUAGGUCAAAGGAAUGUCCUGUACUGCCACAGGACACCAUGCUUAGCAAUAACAGGUGGGGGAAAGGAGGAGGAGGGACAACAUUAGUGAUAACAGCAUUUGUCUUCCAAAGCAACCACUACCUUACUGAGGCCUCACUUCUCAGGGAGUGGCUGGACAUCUGCCUGCCAAUGGGAAGCAGUGAAUAAAUCCCUCUUUUAGCUUCUGCUUUCCUUUUUAAACUCUUAUUUCAACUCACUAGUCUUUGACAUUCUUCCUGGAAAAUGGGAAUAAGUGAAAGAUUGGCUGACUGCUUGGCUGCCAGAGAGAUAUGGGUCCAAGGGCAGAGUACCUGUAUGAGAGCACAAUUUUCUCUAAUAUCCUGAUGUGCUCUAUGACUGUCUAUUCUUGUUUCUUGCUAGUCUGUGAAACUUUCUCCAAUAGAAACAUGGGGCACAUAGGGUGGCUGUAAAAUGUUUUCACUCAUGCCCUUAAAUUUUUCACAGAAGUAUCAAACCAUAUGGAAAUGGAACACAGCAGAAGUAGCAGAUGGUUCCCCAGAGGUCUCUCUGAGUCAUGGUGUAGGUGCUUAGAACACAGACAACAGACUGAGGUUCUGUUCUGAAAGCCCACUUCAUUGUCAUUUCUGUUGCAGAGGAUCUCUACAGAUUCUGCAGUUAAGGAGCUUCCCAAAUGAUCAGGCUUUAUUUUCUCUGCAAUGGGAUAUCCCUACCAGGAGCUGCAAGAUCAGAAAUUCACUGACAAGGGCUCGAACUUGAGUGGACAUUGUGGAAAAAGGAGAUGACCAGUGUUGCAGGCUCUUGCUUUUCUUGGCUUUCUCAGGUAGUUAUAAAUUUAUUGCGAUGUAAUGAAGUAUUAAUUCCAAACAAGUCAAUUUGAUAAUCAUCACAAUCCAGAAGCUUUCUGAGUCUACUUUUGAACAUUUCAUCAGAGAGUGUAAUGGUUUAGGUGACAUUCAAAGGUGUAAGAGGUAGAGAAGGGUAGUUGUGUAUAACUUACUGUUAUAACAAGCAGGCAUUUUUGCCCCAAAUCUAGGCUGGAUUGUGGCUUUGGUCAGAAAGUGCACUGUUGUGUCUCCAGGAACUGGCACUAAUCACAAUGUCUUUGUGCAAAGGUACCUUCUGUACAGUAACCAAAUGAAGGAAAAAGAUUCCUCAUGUAUCCUAUAUCCAAAUAAUUCACUGCACUAGUUUAAACCCUCCACUAAUCACAAUGAAGGAGGUGCAUCUGGUAAGGAAAUAAACAAACAAAAAAUGCAAUGAUCUAUUGAAUUAAUAGGUUUGCAACCAAACAAGUUCUCUGGGUGAAAAAGGCCCCUCUAACUUUAUCAUAACAAAGGAAAACAGAGGUCAUCUCAUCUUCUUGGCUAUAACAUAUAAUAACUUGUCUUUCACAGGAGAAUCAAACAACAUUCCACUGCAUACAACAAAAAAAGUUGUUUUCAGGGCAAAUAUUUAUGAAACCAUUGACAUUUGUUUUUAAUUAUUUUUUAUUCUUAUUAUUUGCUGACUACAUGUCUUUGCUUUUCAAAUCCUACCCAUUCUUUUUAACUCAGCUGCAUAUGCUCAAGAAGCUUCUGAAGAUUGCUCUGUGGGGAAGUUAGAGAGAUGAUACUUAAUCAUCAGAUCUGUAUUUCAUAGAAUCAUGGAAUGGUUUGGGUUGGAAGGGACCUUAAAGAUCAUCCACUUCCAACCCCUCUGCCAUGGGCAGGGACACCUUCCACCAGACCAGGUAGCUCAGAGUCCUAUCCAGCCUGGUCUUGAACACUUCCAGGGAUGGAGCAUCUGCAGCUUCUCUGGGCAACCUGUGCCAGUGUCUCCCCAGGUUCACAGUAAGAAAUUUCUUGCUAAUAUCUAAUCUAAACCUGUUCUCUUUCGGUUUGAAUGCAUUCCUCCUGUCUUGUCACUCUAUGGGCUUUUAAGCAGUCUCUCUCCACAUUUCUUGUAGCUUCAGGUACUGUAAGAGUUUCUUGGUUUUGGGCAAUGUUGGAGAAAUGUCUGUAUACAGACAGAUUAUCUUGCAUUCUUGACUCAAAAGGAGGUUUUUGCCAGCUAACUUUGAAUGUUACCUGAGCCAUAACUUCAGACUUCAGAUACUUUUGCUUAGCUGUAGCACACACUAAGAGAGAUCUGUGCAUUUGUAGAUGGAGAGCAAUGAGAGGGAACCUUGGCAACAAUGGAAUCAGCUAUUUGAUUCAGUUAAAUUUGAUUUAGUUCUCUUUUUUAAAAAAUGUCCCACCAGCUUAAUACAGAUAUCAUUCUGCCACUGAAAUGGUCCUGCUGCAGCCAUAGUUCAACACCAAAAACUGUGCCUUUAUGGUUGUGGUUUGGUUUAUUUGAGGCACUAGAUAUGUUCAAACAGUACAAGAUUAUCUUUACAAAUAAAAUCUGUCUUGCUGUGAAAAACUACAUUAAUACUACUUGACUGCAACUAAUUAUUUCAUAUUGGGCUGCUCAGUCACAGUAGUUUCUGUGUCUUUCUGUGUGGUUUCUUGAUCUCAAAUUUCACUCACUAUUACUGAAAAGAGCUGUAUUUCUUUCCUGUGGGAAUCAUCAAAUGGCUUUAGGAGAAUUACAAGAGUCUCUGGAGCAACAUGGUUUUUCCUGUUUUUGAUGCAUUUGUGGCUGCUAGCAUUUCAUAUAAUUCUAGUACUCCUUCUCAUUCAUGCAGUCUAAAGCCAGCUUGGAUGUGUCUGCAAGAUCUGAAUCCAUAUAUUUGUGGUGUGGGCACUCUCAACUUUCUUGUGAACGGGUUAAUUGCUGCAUUCAGAAUAAGAUCAGUGCAAAGAAACUUGGUCAUUACAGCUACAAAAAUUAGUUAUAAAGCACUGAGCCAAUCUGUGAUUUUGGCUAUGACUGCUUCCUGUAACACUGCCUUUUAGAAAAUUAGAUUGUAACAAUUUGUUUAGACAUGGUAAAGGUCGAAAUGCUUGGUUUGGCCCAGGUGUUUGGGGAACAAUGCUGAAACAUGGUAACUAUAGAUAAAGUUCCGCUUGGUCAAUAGGGUCUCUAGUCAAGCAUGCAAGAUUUCUUCCAUUGUUCUAAGAUGUGUGAGCCUUGGCAAAGUCCUUUAGUAGCUGAAAGGCUGGUGAGGUCAUAAAAGAAAAUACAUCUGUCCCUAGUGGAAUAGUCACAGCUUGCAGUGAUUUUGAUGAGUGAUGGAAUUUUUUUCAACAAAAUGUGGUGGUAGGGAGGACUGCAGUUUAUUUCAGUGGUCUAUGAUGCCUGGAAAAGGCAGCCACGCAAAAGACGAAGGUAGUUGAAGGUCAGCCAGUUGCAAGGCUUCAGUGACUGUGGAGCGUGGAUGGGUCAUCCAUAACCUGUUUUCAAAACUGAGACCUUUCUCCACAUAUGCGUGGAGGCUGAGGUCUGAGCAGGAAUGACUGUGAGCUGAAGUAUUAAGCCUUUGUUGUGCAGUUUUGGUGAAAAAUGCCAGUGAAAGGAGAGUGAAGCUGGAAUCUGACUGCUGUCACUGCACCUGCACAAGCCUCAGAGUGGAUACUAGUGGAUAUAGAAAUGAAAUUAUCUUCCUAGUUGUACACAGAUCACCUGACAGCUUUCAGGCUAAACUAUGAAUGCUGUGCUAUAGUCAGGCUAAUAAGAGUCUGCAUUUCUUUUGGGUGUGCUUUGCAUUUUUUCUGUCCUUGCAUGGAUAGGAACUAGAGUUUUUCAGCCCUCCUUUCUUUGUGGUUUUUCUAGGCAGCAUCAAGUGUUCAGUUCAAAUGUGAACAGGUCACAAAUAAAAUAUCUCAAUAAGCCCCUCAAAAAUUUUCUGGUACUCAGUAAGUUAAUUCUUCACACUUGCAGAUAUAAAUCAGGCUUUUAUUAAAGGAGGAAAAGAAAAUACUUAACAAUGAGUAUCAGGUGGGGAACAUUUGACAUGUAAUCCAUAAAAUGUAACUAGUCAAGGUGGGACAACUACUCUGGCUUCAUGUUCCCCCCUAAACUUCCCGUGCCAGCAAUCAGCUCAUGAGUGGUACUGAGAAAUCAUCUUGUGUACCAAGGGCUGAUGCAAGCUGCACAUGAUGUUGUCAUGUAUUGGCUUUUCUGGCUACCAGAAAGGUGCCUGAGACCAGCCAUCUCUAGCAUGCUGAGGAAAGCCCAAAUAAUUCUCUGACCUUUUCAGCUCUGAUCAAACCCCUAACCCUUUGUUUCUAUUUCACAGCUGUGCACAGCUAUCCUCUCUGUAGCUGCAACUUCUGCACUCUGAAGCUAGAAGCAUUUGCUUUCAUCUCAGGUGACAACUUGUGACAGGCAUAUGUAGAAAGAUGUAGCUCUCUGAGGCUUUCAUAUUACAAUGGCUUUUCUGUGCUUUAUGGAAAGCCUGUUUUUUAUUUUCAUUCUGCAGAAAUGACUCAUGAACGCAUUGCAGUGACAGACUUGUAACUGUUUGAGGCUACAUUAGUCCCACUUAUUUUCUUCUCCUUCCCUCCAUCAGUUUAGAGUGGAACAGCCUUCCCUGGCUGGUUGCCCUUCUUCUCUGGAUUGACUUGAGGUCAUACAGUUCUGCUUUCCCUUAGGAAUUCAGCCAUCAGUCUACAGAUCCUACAGGAGUUUUACUGAGGUAAUCAUACCCCUAAAGCAUUUUCCUGCAGUUUCGGGCACUGUUGACAUAAGAGACUUGAAUGAUCUGUCUGAACUGCAGGUUGGUCUGUGAGAGGAGCACUACAGAGGAGCAGUGUUUUACAUGUGCCUUCGGAUGCAGUUUUAUGUGCCAAAGGAAAUUUCAUAUUUUUUUGGGAAAUGCUAUAUGUCUAAUCCAAGUGCUCUAAGAAGGGAAGUGUUGAUCUCAUUUUAAGCUGUAAAAUUAUUUUAUCAGAGUUCAUAGGAGAUGAGUGCACAACAUAAGAUCUACAUCUUUUAGAGCAGGGACUACCUCUUCUCAUUUCUUUGAAGUCUGUCUUCAGUGUAGGCGUGAUGCUGCUAGGGAAAGAGAGCUUGGGGUUGGGAGUGUCUCACAACUGGCUGAUAACACUAAAUGUUGGAGGCUCAGUCUCUUUUGAGUACUUUGAUCUUUUUUGCCAUUGACCAACAUCUUGCUUCUAAAUCCAUUUUUUUCUUGUUACAAAGAAUUUUUCUUUCCACUACGACAUCCCAGAAAUUGAACUUGCUCCAGACACAUUAUGGAAGGCGUGCAAAUGCUAUUCAGAGCCUGCAGCUUUCUCUCCCUUUAUCUGUUAUUAUUAUCUACUUGGCAGCAAAACAAUACCCUUGUGUUACCUGAUAUAUUAAUUGCACUACUUUAAGGACGCCCCCCAGGGAGAGCCUGUUUGUGCCUUCAACCCCUGACCUUAUGCCUGAAAAGUUUUUUGAUUCAUUCCCCUCACAUAAAGGCUAUUUUUCCUUUGUCUCCAGUGAAAAUAUAUUCUGCAGCUAUAUAUUGAAUUGCUAAGCACUGUACUGAACAAGCUGGAGGAUGUGUCCUUGAUGAAGAUUGUCAGUCUUUUUUAACUUUUAUUAUCUUCCUAAACAGUGGAGGUUUCCAGGUUGUCUCAGGGCAAACAAGCUGACCUCAGGCAAACAGGGAAUAAGAGAAAGUCCUGUUGUCCUCUUUUGAAGAACUAGGUUUUUUUAUUGUUAUUGACCCAUAAAUGACCAGCACUAGGCAAAACUGUCUGCUGGAGAGCACUGUGUGGAAAAGAGGGAGUGACUGGUGCAUCACAUCCAUGCCUAGUGUCACUCAUAGUUGCUCAUAGCACGAGUACUUUGCUGUUACACAAAACUGUCAGAGUCCUGGCAGCUUAUAACUCUGGGAAAAAUUUCCAGAGCCUAUCCUGGCACAUUCCCAUGGGCUACAGCAGACGGGCCCUAUAGAAACUGCACCUUUUUACACACUGAAAGUCCAAGGGAAGACUGAUUCAUGGUAAUUUCAGAGUUCUAGAACAUCUUUCUAACUAUAGCAAUCAAAGAAAACUGAGUGUAAAAGUAUUUACCAUUUUUGGAGAUGGGUUGUGGCCCUUACCAUUGAUUCACAUGGUCCUACAAGGUCAGUGUCUAAAGCUCCUUUCAAUUGUUACAUCUUUUCAUCUGCUUCGUACUGAGGUUAAACAAACUGAGUUUGUGAAGCAGCAGCAUCACAUGAUGCAAGCUCCAUGAGAAAAAAAAAUUGGGUCACAAGUUUGCACUGGAGUUAAAAGUGUUAAAGAGGUAAAAGAAGGCUGUAAAAUGCAGAUUUUGCAAGGUACUGCUGUCAUUGUCCCAUCCACUCCCUCUCAGCCUAGUGUUUUGGAAAUUUGUAGUAAAAUUUAAAUGCUGUGCUUUUGAAAGCAUCUGCAUUUCAUAUCAGUUUCCAUCUGACCAGGCUUGCAGUUGGCCAUUCACUGGAAUGGCAUUAAACAAAGGCUUUUGUUUAGCAGCAGGCUGAGUUUACACAGCUGAGGAAGGUGGAUUGAAGUUGCCUGACUGACCCCUCUUGAAGCUCACACAAUCUUUUUUGCUGACAGGGAUGAGAGAGCAAGGGGGAGUUUGGGGUCAGUUGGCCCCUUAACAUCUUCAGAGUCAUAACUUACUUCUCAGCAUGUGUCUGUCUGUAGCAAAAGUCACCACAGGUCUCAUGCAAACAUGAAAACAUUGCUUUCAGUGUGACUUUUUGGGUCAAGGGUUGUGCCCAGGGGUUGCUUCUGAUGGGAAGAGAAAUGCUGGGGAUAGAAACUCAAUGUUUUGAGCAGAAUUGAAAGAAUUGAAAGCCACUCACCUUACAAUAUCUUUUUUCUCAAAAUGUCAUUAUUUUUUUCACAAGGUAAACAUUUCACCAGAACUGCAGGGAAGAAACUAUUCUUGUUUCUCAGUAAACCAAGCUUAUAUGCAACUUAAAAAAAAUAAAAGAAAAAAGAAAAAAAGAAGAAAAAAAAUAAAAAAAAAGUUGAGAGCUUCAUUCCUAUAUUUCUGUACAUCCUAAGGAGAAAUAUGGGAGGUACAUGUUGUUUUAUGCAUUGAAGUGCCCCUUCAGGCUCACCUGCAUGCACAGUGCUACCACAUCAAAAAACUGCUCUGUGCUUGCUGCUUUCACAUGCUAGGUGGUAUUUAGACAGCUGAGAGAAUCAGGGCCAGGUUCUCAAGGGUGUUAAGUCACUUAGCUCACAUCAGCCAGAACCUAAAUUCACAAAGAGCCUUAGGUUCCUAUGUCAAAUUCCUCAUAAGUUUAGAGCAACUCUCUAGCUGCUUCCCAAGGUUUCCCAGGUACUGGUGUUGCUGAA